rnacentral:rRNA from 1 species
AUUGAACGCUGGCGGCAGGCCUAACACAUGCAAGUCGAACGGUAACAGGAAACAGCUUGCUGUUUCGCUGACGAGUGGCGGACGGGUGAGUAAUGUCUGGGAAACUGCCUGAUGGAGGGGGAUAACUACUGGAAACGGUAGCUAAUACCGCAUAACGUCGCAAGACCAAAGAGGGGGACCUUCGGGCCUCUUGCCAUCGGAUGUGCCCAGAUGGGAUUAGCUAGUAGGUGGGGUAACGGCUCACCUAGGCGACGAUCCCUAGCUGGUCUGAGAGGAUGACCAGCUACACUGGAACUGAGACACGGUCCAGACUCCUACGGGAGGCAGCAGUGGGGAAUAUUGCACAAUGGGCGCAAGCCUGAUGCAGCCAUGCCGCGUGUAUGAAGAAGGCCUUCGGGUUGUAAAGUACUUUCAGCGGGGAGGAAGGGAGUAAAGUUAAUACCUUUACUCAUUGACGUUACCCGCAGAAGAAGCACCGGCUAACUCCGUG